rnacentral:rRNA from 1 species
UACAGAGGUCCCAAGCGUUGUCCGGAAUCAUUGGGCGUAAAGCGCGUGUAGGCGGUCCGGUAAGUCCGCUGUGAAAGUCGGGGGCUCAACCCCGUCGAUGCCGGUGGAUACGUGUCGGGCUUGAGGUACGGAAGAGGCGAGUGGAAUCCUGGUGUAGCGGGUGAAAUGCGCAGAUAUCAGGAGGAACACCAAUGCGAAGGCAGCUCGCUGGGACGUUACUGACGCUGAGACGCGAAAGCGUGGGGAGCAAACAGG